rnacentral:rRNA from 1 species
GAUGUCGGAUUAUUGGGCGUAAGGGCUCGCAGGCGGUUUCUUAAGUCUGAUGUGAAAGCCCCCGGCUCAACCGGGGAGGGUCAUUGGAAACUGGGAAACUUGAGUGCAGAAGAGGAGAGUGGAAUUCCACGUGUAGCGGUGAAAUGCGUAGAGAUGUGGAGGAACACCAGUGGCGAAGGCGACUCUCUGGUCUGUAACUGACGCUGAGGAGCGAAAGCGUGGGGAGCGAACAGGAUUAGAUACCC